UGCUGGUGGAAUAUAGGUUGAUCUGUUCAAAGCCACACAGGGUUGCAAUAGGACAAACUUCUGUUAAAAAGGUGGGCGAGGAAAUGUGUGCCUAACACAUAUGCACUUUGGGGCUCCUGCAGAAGGAAACAGAGUUCUGGAAACUGUUGUGAGAAAAACACUAAAGACACCAGACUUGAUGCUAUGCCACAGACUGGAAAUGAGGCUUCAGACAAUAUCCAGCUAUGUUUGAACCUACUUGAAGAGUUCCAUUUUAUUCUCCGUCCUGGGAUGCACAACAUAAAUUAUCUCCCUUUCUUAUUUGCCUUGAAAAGAGCCUGGCUUGAAGCAGGACAAUGACUUAAAGUAGGAGCCGGGCAGAGAAUACAUCAGGUAUUCGACCUGCCGGCCUAUGAAAUGCAGUGUCAUCAUAACCCAAAGGGCGUAUCAUUAGUCACUGAAGGAAGGAAGUGCAAGCAUGCCUGGAGAAAUCAAUAGAAGGUCCUUGUCUAGUAACACGAAGAGAACAGCACCGAUGUUUAUGUCUUUGCCCUUCACAUACUUUGCUCUUCCUUCCUCUCCAGUCACCUUUUCACUUUAUCCAGAAUUUCAUUUUCCUGAUUGCUGAGUAUAAACAGAGGAGCGUAGUAACCAAGGAUCAGGCUGCAAUCCAGUCUUUUCUCAGGAAAAAAAAAAGAUCCAUCAAGCCCAGUGUUUCUGUAUGGCGGUUAUCUGAUUUGGCUCCUGCUAACUAAAAACAUAUGCAACUGGUUAUCUCCAUCAACACAGUUUAAUUCAGCUCUGGUCCGUAUUAGUGUGUUUUUCUGCAACUGAUGUCUCUUAGUGCCAUGGGUGAACUGUUACUGUUAAAAUCAUGUUUAAAUAUGAAGAUCAAACAAAUGGUCCAAAGGUUCCUAGCAUCUACAGAUUCAUUAAGCAAUACGAAAAUACUUUGCCAUGUUUUGAGUAAACCUAGUAAUUCUUCCCCAAAAUAUCAUGCGCUUGACAAAUGAGGAACCAGAUUAAUACAAAAUUGCAGAGUUGUGCUAGACUAGGGGGUAAUAAUUCAAAAUUGUCAAGACUCCUUUUAAUUCCAUAUCUCUGCACUUGACCUGUUCUUUUACUUUUGUGCCUCGAUUUACCCACCCAUAAAAUGAACAAAACAGUAGUAAUGUGCAUCCUACACAAGCUACAAAGCACCACUCAUUACUGUCAGGGAAAUGCUCUGAAAUUAUGCAGCUGUAUUCAUAGCAAAAAACCAACGAAUUAACAAAAUAUGUUCAGGCAAUGCACAUUUGUCGGCUUCCAUGAGAAAACUGUGAAGUGUUAUGAAUAAUGUGGUUCACUGGUG